UACGGGGGGGGCAAGCGUUGUUCGGAAUUACUGGGCGUAAAGGGCUCGUAGGCGGCCAACUAAGUCAGACGUGAAAUCCCUCGGCUUAACCGGGGAACUGCGUCUGAUACUGGAUGGCUUGAAUCCGGGAGAGGGAUGCGGAAUUCCAGGUGUAGCGGUGAAAUGCGUAGAUAUCUGGAGGAACACCGGUGGCGAAGGCGGCAUCCUGGACCGGUAUUGACGCUGAGGCGCGAAAGCCAGGGGAGCAAACGGG
rnacentral:rRNA from 1 species